rnacentral:rRNA from 1 species
CUGCGGAAGGAUCAUUACUGAGUGAGGGCCCUCUGGGUCCAACCUCCCACCCGUGUUUAUUGUACCUUGUUGCUUCGGUGCGCCCGCCUCACGGCCGCCGGGGGGCUUCUGCCCCCGGGUCCGCGCGCACCGGAGACACUAUUGAACUCUGUCUGAAGAUUGCAGUCUGAGCAUAAACUAAAUAAGUUAAAACUUUCAACAACGGAUCUCUUGGUUCCGGCAUCGAUGAAGAACGCAGCGAAAUGCGAUAACUAAUGUGAAUUGCAGAAUUCAGUGAAUCAUCGAGUCUUUGAACGCACAUUGCGCCCCCUGGUAUUCCGGGGGGCAUGCCUGUCCGAGCGUCAUUGCUGCCCUCAAGCACGGCUUGUGUGUUGGGCUCCGUCCCCCCGGGGACGGGUCCGAAAGGCAGCGGCGGCACCGAGUCCGGUCCUCGAGCGUAUGGGGCUUUGUCACCCGCUCUGUAGGCCCGGCCGGCGCCAGCCGACAACCAAUCAUCCUUUUUUCAGGUUGACCUCGGAUCAGGUAGGGAUACCCGCUGAACUUAAGCAUAUCAAUAAGCGGAGG